rnacentral:rRNA from 1 species
UUAAACUACAAGAAUUGCGCUGUUUUGAAAGUGGUGAAAGGAGAAGUUUCUGCUUCUGACUUAUUGGUCCAGCUAAAUCGUAUUUUCUGUAAGAACAAAGACUGGCCAUGGCAAAUCAAAGAGCUUGAGGAGAAGAAAUACCUACUUAGAUUCCCACCUUGGAAAAAAGUAGAAGACCUGAUUGAGUUCCCUGCAUUUGACCUCCCCAUUGAUGGAGUUUCUGUUAAGAUAUGUGAAUGGGAGGGAAUGUUGGAGGCGUUUGGUCAGUUGUCUGAAGCAUGGGUACAAGUUGAGGGGAUUCUUCCCAAGUGGUGUGCAUGGAAAGUGUUUGCACAUGUUGCUUCGUGUUUUGGCAUCCUUGUGGAUGUGGACUGGAAUGGGAUUUUCAAAAGUUUCUAUGAAAAUAUCAGGAUUAAAGUUUCUUGUAGGGAUCCUACCAAAAUUCCUUUUGAGAGAUUGGUGGAGAUGAAGAAAAAGCUAUAUCUGCUAUUUUUCACCGUGGAAGGUUUUGAA